GUUAAAGUGAAAGAUAAAGAAAAAGCAAAACAUGCCGUAGUUGAAUCAAAAAACAAGGAGCUUCCUAGGUCAAAGGGUUCAGAACUGGUUGAUGCUUAUACCAAAGAGAAACAGUCUAAGGACACUGUAACUAAUAGAUCACAGUCUGUUGACAUAAAAAAAUGUAAUUACUUUAGGGAAUUCAUCUUUUGUUUCAGACAGUAGUUUAAAUAGGUCUCUUAGAUCAGAAAGUGAAAAGCCCGGUUUCAGCUCCAGAUCUGUAUCCAUGAUUUCUGUUGCUAAUUCAGAAGAUUCCUGCCAUACUACCAUGACAACUCCAAAGCCUCUGGUUGAAUAUAACUCUGACUUUAUGUUAUAGGGUUCCAAGUCCCAAAUAUCAUUUUCCCAGUCACCAUUUUUGCCAAUUGCCAAAUCUCCAGGCCUUCACUAAAGGGAGUUGGACAGCCUUGCUGAACUGCCAGAAUGGAUUAAACCACAAUAUGCUAAUAGAUUUGCAGCAUCCCAUCUCAGGUCAUUGUCUGUAGAACAUGUUAAACUAGUUAUAAAUGAGGGGAGACCUUUUGUAGAAGUUCAAAGAUAUAGCAUGCCAUCGGUCAUUUGUGAACAUACAAAACAAUUCCAAACAGUAUCAGAAGAAAGCAGUUAUGGUUACUGAGUGGAAAUUGAAGUGAUUGGAGGAAGCGGUUCAUUGAGGGCAUGGCAAUGGAGUAUAUAUUUUGUAUCUGGAGAGUGGAGUUUUUCUCUCUCUCUGCUUUCUGAUCACCUGGUGUGCUGCUUUCCUCUUCCACUCUGCUGUCAUGUUGUUCCUGCCUUCUCUGAAGCCCAGAGGAAUGGAGCUGGCUGCCUAUGGCUUAUAAUCUCUGAAAUCGUGAUCCCUCAAAUAAACUUUCCUCACCUAAAAUUGUUCUGGUCAGACCCUUUAGUCAUAGCAGUGAAAAAGCUGACUAAAAUGGAAAUUAUCCCUUGUUGUUGUAACUCCACAUUCACAUUGUUCAAUUUGAACCAUCAUGGCAAGUGCUCAUUUUGGCCAAAUGUUAUAGUUUAGAAAUGAGGUGUCUCUAAAAAUCUGAAUAUGAAAAAAUACAAGAAAGUUUAGAGGUAAAAUUAUUGGGUAUGGCACUCUUAAUCAGUGCAUUAAUUCCCUGAUAGAAAUUAACUGGGUUGUAAGUUCAGACUGGUAUGGUGUGGAUGGAUGAGGUAGGUCAUCUGGAAAAUGAUUUGAAAGCACAUGUGUUUGUUGCUGGUGAGCCAGGAUUAGUCUCUCUGCUUCCUGAUAACUCUACUGUGAUGUUCUGCCUUACCUUGGGCACAGCAAUGGAUUUGGCCAUCUAUGAACUGAGACCUAUAAAACUCUAUCAAACAAAUAAACUUUUCCUCCUGCAAAAUUUUUCUCGUCAGGUCUUUUGGUCACAGAAGUGAAAAAAUUGACUACAACACUGAAUAUGUGCAAUAUGAAAAUAGCUUAUAGGAGCAACCAUACUUAUAGGUGAAACCAUACUAAAUUACAAGGAGGUUCCAAUGGAG
rnacentral:lncRNA from 1 species